rnacentral:rRNA from 1 species
GCCAGACUCCUACGGGAGGCAGCAGUGAGGAAUAUUGGUCAAUGGCCGAGAGGCUGAACCAGCCAAGUCGCGUGAGGGAAGACGGCCCUACGGGUUGUAAACCUCUUUUGUCGGGGAGCAAAGCGAGUCACGUGUGACUCAUUGAGAGUACCCGAAGAAAAAGCAUCGGCUAACUCCGUGCCAGCAGCCGCGGUAAUACGGAGGAUGCGAGCGUUAUCCGGAUUUAUUGGGUUUAAAGGGUGCGCAGGCGGAGGUGCAAGUCAGCGGUCAAAUUGCGGGGCUCAACCCCGUACUGCCGUUGAAACUGGGGCUCUUGGGUGAGCGAGAAGUAUGCGGAAUGCGUGGUGUAGCGGUGAAAUGCAUAGAUAUCACGCAGAACCCCGAUUGCGAAGGCAGCAUACCGGCGCUCAACUGACGCUGAGGCACGAAAGCGCGGGUAUCGAACAGGAUUAGAUACCCUGGUACA